rnacentral:rRNA from 1 species
AACGAACGCUGGCGGCAGGCCUAACACAUGCAAGUCGAGCGGACCCUUCGGGGUUAGCGGCGGACGGGUGAGUAACGCGUGGGAAUAUGCCCUUCUCUACGGAAUAGUCCUGGGAAACUGGGGGUAAUACCGUAUACGCCCUUUGGGGGAAAGAUUUAUCGGGGAAGGAUUAGCCCGCGUUGGAUUAGGUAGUUGGUGGGGUAAUGGCCUACCAAGCCGACGAUCCAUAGCUGGUUUGAGAGGAUGAUCAGCCACACUGGGACUGAGACACGGCCCAGACUCCUACGGGAGGCAGCAGUGGGGAAUCUUAGACAAUGGGGGCAACCCUGAUCGAGCCAUGCCGCGUGAGUGAUGAAGGCCUUAGGGUUGUAAAGCUCUUUCAGCUGGGAAGGUAAUGACGGUACCAGCAGAAGAAGCCCCGGCUAACUCCGUG